rnacentral:rRNA from 1 species
UAAGCGAAUAGUGAAAUCUUGUGGCUCAACCAUAAGGCUAUUGUUCGAACUGGCAAACUCGAGAAUGGAAGAGGUAUCUGGAAUUCCCAGUGUAGGAGUGAAAUCCGUAGAUAUUGGGAGGAACACCAAUGGCGUAGGCAGGAUACUGGUCCAUUUCUGACACUAAGGCACGAAAGCGUGGGGAGCGAACGGGAUUAGAUACCCCGGUAGUCCACGCCGUAAACUAUGGAUGCUA